rnacentral:tRNA from 1 species
GACCCCGUAGUGAAAUUCACAUCAAAUUGCAAAUUUGAAGAUAUACUUUUAUCGGUAUCGGGGUUU